AUUGAACGCUGGCGGCAUGCUUUACACAUGCAAGUCGAACGGUAACAGGCCGCAAGGUGCUGACGAGUGGCGAACGGGUGAGUAAUGCAUCGGAACGUGCCCAGUCGUGGGGGAUAACGCAGCGAAAGCUGCGCUAAUACCGCAUACGAUCUAUGGAUGAAAGCGGGGGACCGUAAGGCCUCGCGCGAUUGGAGCGGCCGAUGUCAGAUUAGGUAGUUGGUGGGGUAAAGGCUCACCAAGCUGACGAUCUGUAGCUGGUCUGAGAGGACGACCAGCCACACUGGGACUGAGACACGGCCCAGACUCCUACGGGAGGCAGCAGUGGGGAAUUUUGGACAAUGGGCGCAAGCCUGAUCCAGCAAUGCCGCGUGCAGGAAGAAGGCCUUCGGGUUGUAAACUGCUUUUGUACGGAACGAAACGGUCCUGGUUAAUACCCGGGGCUAAUGACGGUACCGUAAGAAUAAGCACCGGCUAACUACGUGCCAGCAGCCGCAGUAA
rnacentral:rRNA from 1 species